AGCUUUGCGCAGUGGCAGUAUUGUAGCCAAGUGAGGUUUAUCCAAGAUGCGAUUAUCGCUAACUGAAAACUUUUCCCAAUACCCCGCCAAGACAACUUGCAAUAUGGUCGGCAUUGGCAAUUUUUGACAGUCUCUAUGGAGA
rnacentral:snRNA from 1 species